CCCAGUACCGAGCGAGCCGGUCACUGCACCAUGUUCCGGGUAAUUGUGGCGCUACUUUUGUCCUAUGUGCGUUUGGCUGAGUCUAUAACACAGUCACCGAUAUCGUAUGUAACCAAGCUCGGUAAAAGUGCCAGGUUUAAAUGUACCGUAGACAGCGGCAGCACCACGGUCCAUUGGUACCAGCGCCGGGAAGGUCAGGCGCCCUCCAGAAUACUUUAUUAUGGCAGCAGCGUCGUACGGGAUCCGGAAUUCGGCAGCAGGUUUAAAGCGGAUAAGAGGAACACUUUGUGCACUUUGAUCAUCAAUAACAUCGAGAAGGAAGACGCUGCCACAUAUUACUGCGCCUAUUGGGACAGCACAGUGUUCAACAGAGACUGAAAGCCUUUACAAAUACACGGCGCUUCAGCUCGGUCUACACUCAGCUCCCACACCAACAACACCAGCUUGCAUUUAUAAAGCGCCUUUA